UACGUAGGGGGCAAGCGUUGUCCGGAUUUAUUGGGCGUAAAGAGCGUGUAGGCGGCCAUACAGGUCAGCUGUGAAAACUCGAGGCUCAACCUCGAGACGUCGGUUGAAACCGUAUGGCUAGAGUCCGGAAGAGGAGAGUGGAAUUCCCGGUGUAGCGGUGAAAUGCGCAGAUAUCGGGAAGAACACCUAUGGCGAAGGCAGCUCUCUGGGACGGU
rnacentral:rRNA from 1 species